GUCAAAUAAUGUGAGUUUGAUUCAUAUAGACAUAAGCCACUUAUUUAGCAGCUUGAGUUUGGUCAUGAUAGACUUUGGUUUUUUGCAGUUUGUGGAGAUCAAAGGAAGCAUGUUCAAGAAAUUUGAAAAGAACAACCUUUUCCAGAUGUCAAACAGUGACAUAAAAGAGAGGUUUACCAACUACAUCCUCCUGCUCAUUGUCUGUCUGAGAAACAUGGAGCAGUUUUCAUGGAACCCUGACCACUUGUGGGUGCUGUUUCCUGACA